UGGCGGACGGGUGAGUAACGCGUGGGUAACCUGCCUCACACUGGGGGAUAACAGUUAGAAAUAGCUGCUAAUACCGCAUAAGCGCACAGUUCCGCAUGGAACAGUGUGAAAAACUCCGGUGGUAUAAGAUGGACCCGCGUUGGAUUAGCUAGUUGGUGAGGUAACGGCCCACCAAGGCGACGAUCCAUAGCCGGCCUGAGAGGGUGAACGGCCACAUUGGGACUGAGACACGGUCCAGACUCC
rnacentral:rRNA from 1 species